rnacentral:lncRNA from 13 species
AAUAUGGUCUACAAGCCCAAUCCAAAUCUUCUCACCACCUGCUUCCAUCCAUUUGUUUCUGCAUUUUCUCUCUCUUCACCAACACAUAAUUACUUAUUAUUUAUUUUUCUGCCCAUUUCCAGAUUCCCAACAUGCCAUUUAUAGCCUCCCUGAUUUUGAACCUGGAGGUGUAAUUAGCAACCUGAAUCUUACAUUGUUACUAGUUUUUAUUAAAACUAGCUUAAGACAAGUGCUCCUUCUUUGAGGUUUCCCUUUCAUCUUGAUUUGUUUCUAAAUCCUCUGGAUUUGUGGGGGUACAAGAGGGAUGGGGGAGCACUCCCUGACUUCCGCAUACCAGCAGGAAGUUGGCUGCCUCAUUGUUUCUUGCUGCUACAAGGGUUGCAGCCAAAACACUGGCCCUCCAGAGGUCCUCAGUGGCAUAAGAGGACUCAGUGCCAGGAGGCUACAGGGACUCACGGACUUCAUUAUCAAAGCCCUGUGCUGACUGACUUCCAGGUGUACUAUGUCAGUGGAGAACCUGGCAGAUUGGUGGAAGGAGAAGAUUAUGAACAUCUGGCAAUUAAAGGUCUUCAUUUGUUGAAGAAGGAGAAGGAGAAGAAAGAAGAAAAGGAGGAGGAGGAAGAGGAGGAGAAGGAGGAGGAGAGAAAAGAAAGAAAAAACAAAACAAAAAAACCACAACUAGACAAAGUCAUUCAUGUGUAAAAUAUAUCUCUCAUUCCUAUCCUGUUCUGAACUCCCUCCCCUUCACCACCGAAUUUGUGAAAUUUUAAUGAAUUACCUGAAUUAAAGUAUCAAAUGAAUUGAGAAAAAAAUGAAAAAUAUAUAAUUGAAAAUGUUUAAAAACGAUAGUAUUUAUUACUGUACUUUGAGUUUUGAAGAAUUUAAAACUACAGUUGACACUGUAUCCUGAAAUAAAUUCUAGAAGGCUUAAAUAAUUUAAUGUAUA